rnacentral:rRNA from 1 species
GAUGAACGCUGGCGGCGUGCCUAAUACAUGCAAGUCGAGCGAACAGACGAGGAGCUUGCUCCUCUGACGUUAGCGGCGGACGGGUGAGUAACACGUGGAUAACCUACCUAUAAGACUGGGAUAACUUCGGGAAACCGGAGCUAAUACCGGAUAAUAUAUUGAACCGCAUGGUUCAAUAGUGAAAGACGGUUUUGCUGUCACUUAUAGAUGGAUCCGCGCCGCAUUAGCUAGUGGGUAAGGUAACGGCUUACCAAGGCAACGAUGCGUAGCCGACCUGAGAGCGUGAUCGGCCACACUGGAACUGAGACACGGUCCAGACUCCUACGGGAGGCAGCAGUAGGGAAUCUUACGCAAUGGGCGAAAGCCUGACGGAGCAACGCCGCGUGAGUGAUGAAGGUCUUCGGAUCGUAAAACUCUGUUAUUAGGGAAGAACAAAUGUGUAAGUAACUAUGCACGUCUUGACGGUACCUAAUCAGAAAGCCACGGCUAACUACGUG